UGAACGCUGGCGGCGUGCCUAAUACAUGCAAGUCGAGCGAACAGACGAGGAGCUUGCUCCUUCGACGUUAGCGGCGGACGGGUGAGUAACACGUAGGUAACCUACCUAUAAGACUGGGAUAACUUCGGGAAACCGGAGCUAAUACCGGAUAAUAUUUCGAACCGCAUGGUUCGAUAGUGAAAGAUGGCUUUGCUAUCACUUAUAGAUGGACCUGCGCCGUAUUAGCUAGUUGGUAAGGUAACGGCUUACCAAGGCAACGAUACGUAGCCGACCUGAGAGGGUGAUCGGCCACACUGGAACUGAGACACGGUCCAGACUCCUACGGGAGGCAGCAGUAGGGAAUCUUCCGCAAUGGGCGAAAGCCCGACGGAGCAACGCCGCGUGAGUGAUGAAGGUCUUCGGAUCGUAAAACUCUGUUAUUAGGGAAGAACAAACGUGUAAGUAACUGUGCACGUCUUGACGGUACCUAAUCAGAAAGCCACGGCUAACUACGUG
rnacentral:rRNA from 1 species